GUCUCCAAAAGCAUCUAUAGAGGGACUGUUUAAACGAAUAGUUUUUGUUCUGUACUGUAUAACAUUAGCUAAUAGCGUGUGUGUCUGCAUACAGACAUCGCUCUACCAUCAGACAAGUCAGUGGGUUGGAUUCUUUUUUUGUGUGUGACACCUGCUUCCUGAAGCAAUGCUGCGAAAUCAAGCAGCAUGUUUCCUGUUGUCGAACUUUAUACCUCGUACGAUGACAGGUUGUUUGAGCAGAUUAAACAUGUUUCUUCUGCUGAUCUGUUGGAUUAUAACAGGAAUAAUGGCUGAGGAUUCAACAUUUAUACACUAUGGACUGAAACACAGCUCAGUGUGCCUUCAUGUGCAAAAAAACCCACCAUACACACGCGGUCAGUGGAAGUUUGGGAAAACAUUCAUUGCUUCUGAUGCAGAAAUGAAUCCCACCUAUACAGCAAAAGUUGUUUAUCGUGGAAACGGGUCCUUGUGUAUUAAUGAGCUGACUGACAGAAAUGCCGGCACCUAUGAAUUCAGCUUCUUUUCUAACUGGACUGAGUUAACAGAGACACACAUGGUCAUUGUUGAAGAAAAGGUUCCUGAACCGGUCAUUAGAAUGUCAGGGCUUCAGUUCAACCUGUCAGCUGGACUCUGUAACUUCACAGUGAACUGCUCCGUCCAACACGAGUGGCUGUCGUCUGUCUGUGAAGCAGAUGGUUGCAGAACAUCUCAGAGGUCAUUCAGCAAAGUCAACAUCACCAUCUCCACCAACAACAGAAGUGUGGUCUGCAGGGGCAACAACCAUGUCAGCACAAAUAAUGUUACUGGAAACAUAGAUGUGUGCUUCAGUAAAUCUGACCCUGAACCAGAAGAGGAACCCCAACAUCACAAUGUCAUAAUAAUACUUAUUGCCCUCUGUGUAUUCCUAUGUGGAUGUGUGGUCUUUGUGGUGAAGUGCUGCUCGCCACGAACAUGCUAUAAAAAGGAACAUACUGCUCAGAUAAUACAGAGCCAGCCAAUAGAGACACAACCACGGGCUCAACCCAGAGCCUCGACAUCUUCCAGCCACUCUGAGGCUUCAUAUGAGAACGUGGACAUCCUGCAGGAACCCAGCCAGACGAGCAGUCCAAGACAAGAGCUGGGCUCAGUGCAAAGUCAGAAGGUGGACACGGUGUACAGCAUUUUACAGAGGCCGAAGGAUACAAAGGGAAACGAGAACAUACAAGUUGCUGUACCUUCACAGUCUGUCACCCCAGUGGAAACCCAGCACCCCGUGCAAGUUGAAACUGUGUACAGCAUGCUGAAGAAGCCAAAAAGAGGUCAGAGCACCACCUAGAGGACCAAACAGAGUAGUACAAGUGAAAGACCAUACAAGUCAGAUAAAUUCCAAAUAGGUUGCCUAGUCCAAUAUGACAGGUACAAGCAGCCAAAGAGUUCAACAUUCCAUUAAGAUACAGUAUGGAAUAUUAACCCCCACAAUGUAGUGUGGAUCUUGCACCUAUUUUACUGAAAGAGUGUCUUUAUUGUUUUGUUUUAUAAUUGCUAUUUUUGUCUGAACAUGGACCUCCAGACCUUACCUUCAGUUGAUUCUGUUUGGACUGUUUAAACUCCAUAUUUUAACUUCGUGUUUUUUUUCUCUUCACUGUGGUCUUUGCUGUAUUCUAUUUUUUUAAAAAUCCAUUAUAUUUUUAAAUACUUUGAUCGACUGCUGUUUGCUGAAUUAGCCCUGUGUGAAUCCACAUGGCACGCACUUCAAUGUAACACAUGCUUAUUUAUUUAUAUAGAUCUUGGCCUGUACUAUGCCAGUCAGCCACUCUUAUUCAUUUUUGUUUAAAUAAUUAUGUAGUCACAUUAAAUACAUUUGAAUGAAUCUUGAUUUUGUUGAAGGCAGCUGAAAUAUCCUCCCUUCAGAACAUUCAUGUUAGGUUUUGUUGUUUAUCGGCUGUCAGUUUGUUAUGAAGGAGAUGGAGCCACAGAGGUCUGGGUGUCUUUGGUUGACCCUGAUGGACUCACUUCAUUGUGUACUUUAGUUUGUAAUGAUGGACUGCGUGUACAUAGACAAAGUUUGAAUGAAUUAAACAGUCUGUGUUUUAAAGAAUGUUCCAGUCACAAUGAGGCUUCAUAUGAAAAUGUGGAUAUCAUGCAGGAACCCAUCUAGACGAACAAGAGAAAAGCUGGGCUC
rnacentral:lncRNA from 1 species